UUUGUUGUCCGACUCUGUUGCCUCCGGGGCGACCCUGCCUUCGGGCGGGGGCUCCGGGUGGACACUUCAAACUCUUGCGUAACUUUGCAGUCUGAGUAAACUUAAUUAAUAAAUUAAAACUUUUAACAACGGAUCUCUUGGUUCUGGCAUCGAUGAAGAACGCAGCGAAAUGCGAUAAGUAAUGUGAAUUGCAGAAUUCAGUGAAUCAUCGAAUCUUUGAACGCACAUUGCGCCCCCUGGUAUUCCGGGGGGCAUGCCUGUUCGAGCGUCAUUUCACCACUCAAGCCUCGCUUGGUAUUGGGCAACGCGGUCCGCCGCGUGCCUCAAAUCGACCGGCUGGGUCUUCUGUCCCCUAAGCGUUGUGGAAACUAUUCGCUAAAGGGUGCUCGGGAGGCUACGCCGUAAAACAAACCCAUUUCUAAGGUUGACCUCGGAUCAGGUAGGGAUACCCGCUGAACUUAAGCAUAUCAA
rnacentral:rRNA from 1 species